CCUACGGGUGGCAGCAGUCGAGAAUCAUUCACAAUGGGGGAAACCCUGAUGGUGCGACGCCGCGUGGGGGAUUGAAGGCUUUCGGAUGUAAAGCCCUUGUCAUGUGGGAGAAAAUAAAAAAGGUAGUACCACAAUAGGAAGCGACGGCUAACGCUGUGCCAGCAGCGGCGGUAAUACAGAGGCCGCAGGCGUUGUUCGGAAUCACUGGGCGUAAAGGGUGCGUAGGUUGUUUAGUAAGUCAGGUGUGAAAGGCGCGGGCUCAACCCUCGUACGGCAAAUGAUACUGGAGGACUAGAGUAGUGGAGGGGGAACCGGAAUUCUCGGUGUAGCAGUGGAAUGCGUAGAUAUCGGGAGGAACACUCGUGGCGAAGGCGGGUUCCUGGACAUUAACUGACGCUGAGGCACGAAGGCCAGGGGAGCGAAAGGGAUUAGAUACCCUUGUAGUC
rnacentral:rRNA from 1 species